rnacentral:rRNA from 1 species
UACGUAGGGGGCAAGCGUUGUCCGGAAUUAUUGGGCGUAAAGCGUGCGCAGGCGGUUCGCUGUGUCCUGUGUGAAAGCCCCGGGCUUAACCUGGGAAUGGCAUGGGAAACUGGCGGGCUGGAGUGUGGCAGAGGGGGGUGGAAUUCCGCGUGUAGCAGUGAAAUGCGUAGAGAUGCGGAGGAACACCGAUGGCGAAGGCAGCCCCCUGGGCUAACACUGACGCUCAGGCACGAAAGCGUGGGGAGCAAACAGG